CCUACGGGAGGCAGCAGUGAGGAAUAUUGGUCAAUGGGCGGAAGCCUGAACCAGCCAAGUAGCGUGAAGGAUGACGGCCCUACGGGUUGUAAACUUCUUUUAUAAAGGAAUAAAGUGACUCACGUGUGCCUGUUUGAAUGUACUGUAUGAAUAAGGAUCGGCUAAAUCCGUGCCAGCAGCCGCGGUAAUACGGAGGGUCCGAGCGUUAUCCGGAUUUAUUGGGUUUAAAGGGAGCGUAGGCGGGUUGUUAAGUGUGUUGUGAAAGGUCCGGGCUCAACCCGGGACUUGCAGUGAAAACUGGCGGUCUUGAGUCGACGGAAGGCAGGCGGAAUUCGUCGUGUAGCGGUGAAAUGCUUAGAUAUGACGAAGAACCCCGAUUGCGAAGGCAGCUUACUGCAGUGGAACUGACGCUGAUGCUCGAAAGCGCGGGUAUCGAACAGGAUUAGAUACCCUAGUAGUC
rnacentral:rRNA from 1 species